rnacentral:tRNA from 1 species
GGGCAGGUGGCAGAGCGGUUGAAUGCACUAGUCUUGAAAACUAGCAUGGGUUUGCGCCCAUCGUGGGUUCGAAUCCCACCCUGCCCGCCA